rnacentral:rRNA from 1 species
UGACACAGGGAGGUAGUGACAAGAAAUAACAAUACAGGGCGAAUGUCUUGUAAUUGGAAUGAUGGUGACCCAAACCCUCACCAGAGUAGCAAUUGGAGGGCAAGUCUGGUGCCAGCAGCCGCGGUAAUUCCAGCUCCAAUAGCGUAUAUUAAACUUGUUGCAGUUAAAAAGCUCGUAGUUGUAUUUUUGCGUUGACGGUUUGACCAUUUGGUUGGUUAUUUCGUUUUCGCUUUUGGGAAUUUCCCUUUUUACUUUGAGAAAAUUAGAGUGUUUCAAGCAGACUUUUGUCUUGAAUACUUCAGCAUGGAAUAAUAGAGUAGGACUUUGGUUCUAUUUUGUUGGUUAUUGAACCUUAGUAAUGGUUAAUAGGAACGGUUGGGGGCAUUCGUAUUUAACUGUCAGAGGUGAAAUUCUUAGA